UGUCCUAUGGUCUAGUGGUCAGGACAUUGGACUCUGAAUCCAGUAACCCGAGUUCAAAUCUGUAGGACUC
rnacentral:tRNA from 1 species